rnacentral:rRNA from 1 species
UACGAAGGGGGCUAGCGUUGCUCGGAAUCACUGGGCGUAAAGGGUGCGUAGGCGGGUCUUUAAGUCAGGGGUGAAAUCCUGGAGCUCAACUCCAGAACUGCCCUUUGAUACUGAAGAUCUUGAGUUCGGGGAGAGGUGAGUGGAACUGGCGAGUGUAGAGGUGAAAGUUCGUAAGAUAUUCGCAAGAACACCAGUGGCGAAGGCGGCUCACUGGCCCGAUACUG